rnacentral:rRNA from 1 species
GAUGAACGCUAGCGGCAGGCCUAAUACAUGCAAGUCGAGGGGCAGCACGGUAGCAAUACUGGUGGCGACCGGCAAACGGGUGCGGAACACGUACGCAACCUUCCUUUAAGAGAUGAAUAGCCCGAAGAAAUUCGGAUUAAUGCAUCGUAAGAUUGUGGGAUGGCAUCAUCCAGCAAUUAAAGAUUUAUUUCGCUUAAAGAUGGGCGUGCGCCUGAUUAGGAGUUGGUGAGGUAACGGCUCACCAAGCCGACGAUCAGUAACUGGCGUGAGAGCGCGACCAGUCACACGGGCACUGAGACACGGGCCCGACUCCUACGGGAGGCAGCAGUAAGGAUAUUGGUCAAUGGACGCAAGUCUGAACCAGCCAUGCCGCGUGAAGGAUGAAAGCCCUCUGGGUUUGUAAACUUCUUUUAUCUGGGAANAAACCACCUUUUUCUAAGGGUGUUGACGGUACCAGAGGAAUAAGCACCGGCUAACUACGUGCCAGCCGCCGCCGUAAC